rnacentral:lncRNA from 1 species
GUAUUAGCAAAGGUUACCAUGAGGUACAGGGACGUGUUGCAAAGCUAGCGAGCUUGGCCCGGGUGCCCGCUGUAGAACAUGACCAACCCUCUACGAAGGAAGGAAGUCUCUAGGACUCAGAACCACGUGUGUAGCAUUAGCGCUCUCUUCCUGACCACAGUUCUCAUUCAGAGUCUAACUGGCAGCUUUCACUUCCAAAUAAGACGACCCACUGGAAGGCCCCUGUAUGAACAGGUUAGCAAGAAUGGGAGUUUGAAUAAGAAAGAACAGACUCCUUCCCCAAGGCUGAAAGAGGAAGGAUGCGGGGAAAUUCACAAACAACAAGGAGAGGAGCUGAACACUGGAAACAAAAUCAGGCAGCAUUGUGAAGAAGCCGGGCGGAGCACAGCUCCAUGUGGAAGGAGGCAACAUCCGAUGCCUUUGGUCAACUCUCAAGGUGAUUAUCAGAGGAGAUACGUGCCAUCUUAUUGUGGACCAUGGAUUAAGCAACACUUGAACAUUCUGAGCAGAACACGACAUCCCUCCCUCUGUAGAUAUAAAACAACCAUUUAUUUUGAAAAGAAGCAUAAACCACCAAGAAUAUUUAUUCCUUAA